GGGGGUGUUCCGGAAUUCGACUGUCGAUUGUAGUCUGCGUCUGCGUGCCGGAGACGACACUUGGCUCCGUAAAAAUGUGUCAAAACAAUAAUAAAUGGCGAAGAAUACGCUAUUGCUGCUUAAUUAACGCGGCACGUCCGCUUCCCGAUUCUCGAUAGGGAAAUCCGGGCGACGACAUCGAGAAAAGGGGAUUGCUUCGGCCCUGCGGGGUGCAAUCCGCCAAUUACUGCGGGGUGCCCCCGGCGCGGCCGUCCGAGCCUAACGCCGGGGAAAGCAUAAGUCGAGACUACGCAUGUAGAAGGCGCCGGUGAAAGUCCUCAGGACGCGGGUUCGACUCCCGCCACCUCCACCA
rnacentral:tmRNA from 1 species